rnacentral:rRNA from 1 species
AUUGAACGCUGGCGGCAUGCCUAAUACAUGCAAGUCGAGCGAACAGACGAGGAGCUCGCUCCUCCGACGUUAGCGGCGGACGGGUGAGUAACACGUGGAUAACCUACCUAUAAGACUGGGAUAACUUCGGGAAACCGGAGCUAAUACCGGAUAACAUGUUGAACCGCAUGGUUCAACAGUGAAAGACGGUCUUGCUGUCACUUAUAGAUGGAUCCGCGCCGCAUUAGCUAGUUGGUAAGGUAACGGCUUACCAAGGCAACGAUGCGUAGCCGACCUAAGAGGGUGAUCGGCCACACUGGAACUGAGACACGGUCCAGACUCCUACGGGAGGCAGCAGUAGGGAAUCUUCCGCAGUGGGCGAAAGCCUGACGGAGCAACGCCGCGUGAGUGAAGAAGGUCUUCGGAUCGUAAAACUCUGUUAUUAGGGAAGAACAAAUGUGUAAGUAACUAUGCACGUCUUGACGGUACCUAAUCAGAAAGCCACGGCUAACUACGUGCCAGCCGCCGCUGUAA